CAAGGCUGUGCCUCAGCUACUCAGUUAUUCUCCUUAGAAGUAAACAAUCUGUUGUCCCUUUGUUGUCCUGUGUUACAGCUGUGCAUCCUCCUGAUUCAUUCAGUUCCCAAAGUAUAACCACAAGCCUUCACGGAGCACACUUUUACUCAAGGGGACCCAAUCCAGGAUCUCACAUUGCAUCUUGUCAUCGUGUCUCCUUAAAUCUCCUCCAGCCUGUGACAGUUCCUCAGUCUUUCCUUGUCCUCAUGACCUUGAAACUUUUGGAGAGUACUAAAAUUGUGAAGAGUACAGUUCUUUUGUAUAACGUCCCUGAGUUUGGAUCUGCCUGAUAUUUUUCUCAUGAUUAGAUUGAAGGAUCUUAGCUGCCUGACCAGAGACUGAACCUGGGCCCCAGCAGUGAAAGUGCCGAAUCCUAACCACUGGACUGCCAGGGAAUUCCGACACCUGUUUCUUUGUUCUGUUGUUUCUUUCACCUUUAUCACUAGUGGUGAGGUUGUAGUAAGUGCUUAAUAAAUACCUAACACAG